rnacentral:rRNA from 1 species
UACGGAGGGGGCUAGCGUUGUUCGGAAUUACUGGGCGUAAAGCGCACGUAGGCGGCUUUGUAAGUUAGAGGUGAAAGCCCGGGGCUCAACUCCGGAAUUGCCUUUAAGACUGCAUCGCUCGAAUUGUGGAGAGGUAAGUGGAAUUCCGAGUGUAGAGGUGAAAUUCGUAGAUAUUCGGAAGAACACCAGUGGCGAAGGCGACUUACUGGACACAUAUUGACGCUGAGAUGCGAAAGCGUGGGGAGCAAACAGG